CCUACGGGAGGCAGCAGUAGGGAAUCUUCCACAAUGGGCGAAAGCCUGAUGCAGCAACGCCGCGUGGAUGAUGAAGGUCUUCGGAUCGUAAAACCCUUUUGUUAGAGAAGAAAGUGAGUGAGCGUAACUGUUCACGUUUGGACGGUAUCUAACCAGAAAGCCCGGGCUAACUACGUGUGAGCAGCUGCGGUAAUACGUAGGGUGCAAGCGUUAUCGGGAUUUAUUUGGCGUAAAGGGAGCGAAGUCGGGUUAGUAAGUCUGAUGUGAAAGCCUUCGGCUUAACCGGAGUAGUGCAUUUGAAACUGGGAGACUUGAGUAUAGAAGAGGAAGGUGGAAUUCGAGGUGUAGCGGUGAAAUGCGUAGAUAUAAAGAAGAACACU
rnacentral:rRNA from 1 species